UACUUUGGUGUGCUCACCAAGGUCCAAAGUCUGACACAUGGACUCUGAGCCUGAGCCCAGAAGCUCUAUUUCAUCCAUUGCCCUGUGUGAUUUGCCUUGGAGAUGCAAAAUCUUGCUAACAAAUGUCAAAAGACACUGAUAGGCACAACCAGAAUGCUGACUUAUCAAUUUGUAGUAAGAGGCACACUUGCUAACUGGGCUGGAUGGUCCUGUUAGCCUGAGCAGUGUGUCCUCUCCCAAAGACACGCCACGUGGGAAACAAAGGUGUCACUGGGCUGCCUGGGGAGCCCUGAGUCAGGACAGAGAAUUUCCUAGAAUCUAAGAAUGUCCAUGUUGGAAGCAAACUCACUGUGGAGUCCUGUUCCUUCCUCGACUUUCUAACAACCCACCAGUGGCCUGGGCAGCGUAGGAAGAGAGCAGGAACUUUGGGGAACAAGAGUUUGAGAACCCCGUCUGCUCCAUCUGCUCCAGUUCUGUGAAAACCACAUGGAGACCGUCUCCGCUGAGUGGAGUAUUCCUGUUCCUCGAGGAAUGCCCUGUGGGAUUCCAUUCCUUUUCCCCUCCUCCCUUCAGCCUGGGCCAGCCAUGUGGCGUGACAUCCUUGUGGCUCCUGGGCCUCCCCCAACCCCGCCCCUCUUGCUCUUUUGUCUGCUGUCUUUCCUGUCUGGGUCCGUUGCUCCUAGAAUGGUGUUUCCCAAACUGGUGUGCCUGGUAGCCUCAGGGACCUGCAAGAGCUGCGUUAGAAUGUGUAUAUUUCAUGCUUUCAUUUUGAUGAUAUCUGAACAUUAACACACGCAUGUUCUGGAUCCUGCAGUGACUACCUUAUUACAGGCAUUUUCAGGGCUCUGCUUGCUUUCGUGUUAAAGCAUCUUCACAGGAGGACCAGAUGAUGACACAGACGGUGGUCCUGACAGGGACUGUCCAGUGCAUGGUUCACAUAGAGGAGACAAGUGGGAGGACUAGCCCUCAGGCGGGGAGGGCAGAAUGACAGUAAUAAGAUGUACUGAGCACUGG
rnacentral:lncRNA from 1 species